rnacentral:lncRNA from 1 species
GAGUGAAAAGUGCCAGUCCCCGCUGAUCCUCAUCAGCCCUGAUGGAGACUCCAAAGAGCUGGUAGGUGCAAGAAGCACCACGUUCUGUGGAACAAUCUCCGUGGCUGGUGGUGGAGCCAAACUCUGGAACCUGGGAAUGAACACUGCUCUAAGUGCUAAUGUGCAAGCUGAGAAAUGCCCAACUCAGAAGUGGCUUGACCAACAGGAUGACCACUAGGAAAGAACAAAAGGCCCGAAUCCACUUGGCUGGAGGAAUAUUUGGACACAGAGAGAGACCCACAGGAAGAAUGCCGUGUGAAGACUGGAGUUAUGCUGCCACAAGCCGAGGAAUGCCAGAGAUUGCCAGCAAACCAACAGAAGCAAGUAGAGAGUCAAGGAAUAGAUUCUCCCGCACAGCCCUCAGAAGGAUCCAACCUUACCAAUACCUUGAUCUCAGGCUUCUAGCUCCCCAGAACUGUGAGACAAUAAAUUUCUGUUGCUCAAAGCCAGUCGGUUUGUGGUGCUUUGUCACAGCAGCUCUCGGAAACUAAAAUAUCUAGGGAAAAGAUUUAGACAUUUCAUUGCAUCCAGGCUAGUAUGGACCUGUAGGGGACUAAUGAA